CUGUCAGCAGUACUUGUACAGAGCACCAUGCAGGAUGCUGUGAUAUUGGUCACCACGCUGCCAACACCGUGGCCCACCAUCACCAACACCAACUGAUGUGACAGAGACUAGGGCUGUAACUCAGUUCAGACUGAAGAUGUCUCUGAAGAGACGGCUGCUGUCCAUGUUGUUGUGCUGUGUUUACUGUGUGGCUUCACUCUUCUGCCUCCACCCGAAUCGCAACAACGGUGUCACUGUGAAAGCACGAAGUUUGCCAUCAGUCAUCCAUCAGGUUUACCAACAAAUCACUCAACUCUUCCGCACCGUUCUGUAAACUACAGCAAUUUCAGUGAACCUUUUGUGACCAAGCAGAGAUGUAAAGAGUUGUAAAACAUGGUUUCCUGUAGUGUAACAGCUUUAAGGAUACUAAUGGCAUCCCUACAUUAACGAUGUCUGCUGCCCUGAUUGGUGCACUACUUUACAUGAAAAUUCAUAGAAUUGAUUAUAUAAUUUUAAUCUAAAAAUGUGUACUUGAUUUUGAUUGGUGAAGGUAACAUAUGAUACGACCGAGUUAAGGAAAAGGCAAAUACUAAUGGCAAAAUGAUCCUAGAAAAUUUGAAAUUGUUCCAACAAAUCUCAAGACAGAGGCUGCUGCUGCCACAGUAAAAUAAAUACUUCAAUAUUUAAAAUGUGUUUGUCCAUUGCAUUUCAGACAAUCAAAUGUGUAGUAAAAUUACAAUUAGAUAAGAGGGAUCUGAGAGCUACACAAACGGUAAGUUUGAUAGUUACUUGCUUGAAUAAGCUAAGAAUAAAAUAUGCAUAAAUAUUAAUUACAAAAAAAUGACAAAUAGGGCUCAGAUCUAGUUCCUACUGAUUGCGACUUUCCUUUAAAACAUUUUUUUAAUAAUCCCUACACAUUUUUCAGUUCUAGAUAGAGAUUUCUACCACGUUA